rnacentral:rRNA from 1 species
ACGGGAGGCAGCAGCUAAGAAUAUUCCGCAAUGGACGAAAGUCUGACGGAGCGACGCCGCGUGGAUGAUGAAGGUCGGAAGAUUGUAAAAUCCUUUUAUGACUGAGGAAUAAGUGGAGUGAGAGAAACGCUUCACGGUGUCUGUAGGUCAUGAAUAAGCAACGGCUAAUUACGUGCCAGCAGCCGCUGUAACACGUAAGUUGCGAGCGUUGUUCGGAAUUAUUGGGCGUAAAGGGCAUGUAGGCGGUUUUGCAAGCUUGGUGUGAAAGGCAGGAGCUUAACUCCUGGACUGCGUUGAGAACUGCAAGACUUGAGUCACUGAGGGGCAAUCAGAAUUCCUGGUGUAGGGGUGAAAUCUGUAGAUAUCAGGAAGAAUACCAAUGGCGAAGGCAGGUUACCAGCAGAUGACUGACGCUGAGGUGCGAAGGUGCGGGGAGCAAACAGGAUUAGAUACCCUGGUA